ACAUUUAGUUUUAAUUGUCAUUUUAUUUUAUUAAGAAAAAAAAAUCAACUCCAUACAAGUAAAUUAUUCUUCGUAAAAAUUCAUUUAUUUGGUAUUGUGAUUAUCCUCCUCAGGCUAAUAUCCAUAUAGAGGCCACAUACCAAGGCCCGCAAAAACAAGUUCAGCUCAAAAAAGCAUCAUAACCCGCUUUGACGGACCAAGAGUUAGUAGAAUGAAGCAUAGUUGAUAUGAAAGUCAACCACUACAAUAAAAAGUGGUUGUAGAGAGAUAAUAUAUAGAAAUUGAACAUAUAUUGCACUAGUUAUUAGAAUGUGCAAUUAUACAUUAGUCAGUUGCAACCAAUUGAUGUAUUUAUUCUAAUGUAUUUUAGUUUUGAUUGA